rnacentral:rRNA from 1 species
GACGAACGCUGGCGGCGUGCCUAAUACAUGCAAGUAGAACGCUGAAGGAGGAGCUUGCUUCUCUGGAUGAGUUGCGAACGGGUGAGUAACGCGUAGGUAACCUGCCUUGUAGCGGGGGAUAACUAUUGGAAACGAUAGCUAAUACCGCAUAAGAGUAGAUGUCGCAUGACAUUUGCUUAAAAGGUGCAAUUGCAGCACUACCAGAUGGACCUGCGUUGUAUUAGCUAGUUGGUGAGGUAACGGCUCACCAAGGCAAGGAUACAUAGCCGACCUGAGAGGGGGAUCGGCCGCCCUGGGACUGAGACCCGGCACAGACUACUAGGGGAGGCAGCAGUAGGGAAUCUUGGGGCAGGGACGGAAGUCUGACCGAGCAACGCCGAGUGAGUGAAGAAGGUUGUCGGAUCGUAAAGCUCGGUUGUAAGAGAAGAAAGAGUGUGCGCGUGGAAAGUUCACACUGUGACGGUAUCUUAUCAGAAAGGGACGGCUAACUACGUG